UACACGAACAAAAAUAGUAACAUUAAGUAAGUAGUUAAGUAUAUGUAUUUGAAUCUUCUAUUGAAGUUAAAAGUUAAUUUAAUUAUUAUACAACGUAAAAGAUAAAAAAAUAUUGUAAAUCGUAUAAUUUUUGAUGGUUAAAACUUGCUGCAUCCUUGGAUGCUCAUCGGGAAUAAAAGUCCCCUCGCAUUAUUUUCCAGGAAAUCCGAACAUGUUUAUAACUUGAAAAAUUGCUUUACCAUCGCUCAACAGAAAUAUAUUAAACGAUGAUGAAUUAAAAGAAAUGACAAUAUGUUGCAUUUUAGACUUUGAUUAUGUUACAAUAGGUUAUAAAUAUAGAAAACUUAGACAAGAUAUUAUGCCAAGUAUGAAAUUAACACCUAUGAAUAUUAAUAUUUUAAGAGAACAAGAAGUCAAAAAUAUUAUGAAUUUCAGCAUAGUCAGGAAAUCGAAAUUUUGAAGGACGAUGGAAACUAGAAUGUGAAAUCAUCGUUAUUAUAUCUUUGAGAAUUAAAUUUAUCAAAUGAAAUAAUAGAACUUAGACCUAAAUCGACAAAUUUAUACGACAAUCUAUAAACUAAGAAAAAACAAAACACGCUGUUGAAGCGAAUAUCAUUGUUCAGAUGGAAGUUAAAGCAAAUUGAAAAAAA